AUGAAAGCCUUCGACAACACAUUUUCCCUUUCACUUUCGACGGCCGCUCUUCCUCCGGGCGGCCAUGAAGGGACGGCUGGUGUUUCUGUUGCUGCCGUUGAUCUGGGCGGAGGGGGCCCCCUUGGAGGCAAAAACACCCAUGUGAGUUGGAGAAAAGAAAGGAGUGAUAUCUCUCCUUUCCUCCGGUUGUGUCUCUGCCUUUUGCCAACAUCAGCAAAGGUGCUCAGCAAUAGCCAGGAAUUCUUCCUAGCUUCAGCGACAAACAGCAGAAAAGGUGAUUGUUUGCAGAACAUAAUUGGCCUUAAAGGAAAAGAUGCUCUCUUGGCGCCAGUAGUUAUUGGCACCCCGACGUAUAUUACCUGGAAAAAAGAAGAAAACAUAGUGCAUGAGUGGAAUGGGACCUCUGAUCAUUCAAAUGGCAACUUGAUUAUCAAAAAUGUGUCACACAGUGAUGAUGGACUUUACACAGCAGAAAUACAAAUGGGAACUAAAUUAGAAUACUGUCAUUUCUGUCUGAAAAUAUUAGAAUAUCUAGAACCACCUGUUUUAUACUGUUCGGACCACAGUGAUGACAUCCAGGUAAACUGUGCAUCACCUCCACAGAACUACUCCCACAAUCUACCUGUGUCAUACCAUUGGGAACACACAGGAGAGGUUAUUGAUCAUGGACUGCAGUCUAUUAAACUAUCGAAGAAUGAAGGCCUUCCUGAGAAAAUUACAUGCAUUAUUCACAUAUACAAUGUACAUGCCAGUAGCUCCAUUGCGUUAACUGAAUGUCUUUCAAUAGAAUCUGAUCAAGGGCGAAGUCGACCAGCACUGAUUGGGGUGUUUGGGGUUCUGGUGAUCGUAUUGCUUGUAUUUGGUCUGUGGAAGAAAGAUCGUUUAACACAUUGGCUGAAUACCAGGAAGCAGAAAAGACAAGAAGAUCCAGGCAAUGCUGAUGUUCCACUGAAUGAAAUGCUAACCGAUAAUGGUCCCAGAUGUGUAUCAGAGGAUUUAAAAGAUAACAGGAGCGAAGACACUGGUGACGAUGUUCCACUGAAUGAAACACCUGAUGACUCCAAAUGUGUACUAGAGAAUUCGAAAGAUGACAGGAGGGAAGAUCGUUUAACACAUUGGCUGAAUACCAGGAAGCAGAAAAGACAAGAAGAUCCAGGCAAUGCUGAUGUUCCACUGAAUGAAAUGCUAACCGAUAAUGGUCCCAGAUGUGUAUCAGAGGAUUUAAAAGAUAACAGGAGCGAAGACACUGGUGACGAUGUUCCACUGAAUGAAACACCUGAUGACUCCAAAUGUGUACUAGAGAAUUCGAAAGAUGACAGGAGGGAAGGCAAUGCUGAAGAUGUUCCACUGAAUGAAACACCUGAUGACUCCAAAUGUGUACUAGAGAAUUCAAAAGAUGACAGGAGGGAAGGUGGCUGAGAAUGUCAGUUGGAAUUUGAGCUUGCUGGGAGAGCACAGAAAUGGAGACAGGCUCUCUGGCUACGGUCAAGUAGCUGAUUAAUAUGCUAUGCUGUAUAUAUUGAUUGCUGAUUGAUUAGUUAUUGAUCUUAUGCAACUACAUGGACAUUGUACGAUUGCAGAACUGUUUUAUAUUUCAACUCUACAAGCAAGAGUAAAGUUCCUUUGUUCUUUUCAAUUCCUCUGUCUGGUCUGAGUCUUUUGCACAUGGUGUUAUCUGGAUGCUACUGAUUCCGCUAUACUCUCUCCUGGUAACACUAUAUUCAUAAAUACAGUACCUCCUACAUAGCAUUACUGCAUAUUGAACUACUUUUUCUGUCAAAUUUGUUGUAUAACAUGAUGUUUUAGUGCUUAAUUUGUAAAAUCAUAACCUGAUUUUAUGUUUAAUAGGCUUUUCCUUAAUGCCUCCUUAUUAUCCAACAUAUUCACUUAUCUAACAUUCUGGCAGCCCGUUUAUGUUGGAUAAGUGAGACUCUACUGUAUUACUUCCACCAUUUCAAAUAUUAAGAGAAAAAUCCAUUCCCUGUUGGAACAUAUAGCCUCUCAAUUGAAAUAUUUGAAUUGGUUGUCCAUGGAACAAGGAACUCUUGGAGGAAAGGGGGAAAUUAUCAAAAGAAUCCUGUUUGUUACAACUACAUUUUUGGAUCUCUCUCUAUGAAGGACUUUUAGUGGCAUGGUCAGAUCUUGAGUGGUCUUUGUUGGAGUCUUCUGGAAGAAAAAGUCUGUUGGUGAUUUCAGAUGUAACUGGGCAUGCCUUAGACUCAAUCUACACUCUUAAGAAUUAUUUAUUGUUAAGAAAUAUUUACAGAUUUUGGGGGGGAAUAUUCAGAAUAAGCACUAGCUUGUUUAAGAAUCCUGUCUUGAAUUUACCAUAUGUGUAUCUCACAUGGUGGCUGGCACUGUAUGUGCCACAUCUGUCAGAUUACAGUUUGCCUUGCACACUAAAUCCAUGGAAAUGUAAGACCCUCGGAGCUGGGUGGGGUACUUAACAGGGUUUACAAAACUCAUAAAUACUAUAUACUGUUUUUAUUAGAAGGAAAUACCAGAGAUAAGAUUAUGUGUAAGAGAAGAUGAGAAAGAAAAUGGUGGGAAAGGUCUGUGCUCAUUGAAGAAGCAGAAAGAAGAGGAGUUGAGGAAGACAAAUCCCUUUUUCAAAAGACAUGAAGUGAAAGGAGCCUGGGUUUCCUUCCACCCCACCCCUGACCAGUGCCACAAAUAUAAACCACAAGUUUCAAAGCAGAAGAGGUGCUACACUGAAAUGAGGAAGAAAAACUAAGUAAUUAACAUAUACUAAGUUUACUUCUUAAUGGAUUGCUAGAUGUAUGCCAUUUCAAAAGGAACAGAUUUCUGGCCCAUCCCUUGGGGUUUGAGGGGGGUUCUCCAUAACUAAAGAGAUUAGGUUGGUAGGUACUUCAUGGCUGGAAAUAUAAAAAGAAAACUCAUAUCACAAAUGCUGGAGGAACUGGGGCUCGGAGUACAUAUUUCCACAUGUGGUGGGAAUGUCCCAGUAUUUCUCAAAUGUGAAAAAAGAUAUUUCUAAUAGAUCAAAGUACAAACCAAAGUACAACCAUGUUGAGGGCUUUUAUCCAUAUUUUGUGAGAACUGUAAGGUAUUUAAUUAUAAAUAACUUUUUUGGUUUGUUCCAAGACUGAUAAUAGCUCAGAACUGGGGGAGGGGGGACUGGAGCACCUCUCAAUUAUAGCCAGAUAUAUAUAUUGAGAGCGAGAGGGAGAAAGAGAAAAUAUACAUUACACAUAUGUCAAUUGCAAGCAUUGUGGGACGGGGACAUACAUAGCUGAUAUGAACACUCAAAGCUACUGUGGAAAUGUUUAUGAAAGGCUCAUUAAAUUUUAAUUAGUGGUUUUUUAUGUAUUACAAUUUGAAAUGAAUGCUUUAAGAGGAGUUUAUCUCACAUAAACUGUGUACUUUCCCCAAUUGGAACAGCAUUUUUUCCAGGAAAUGGCAACACCCUGUAACUGCUUUAAUGCCAGUGUGGGUUGGGUGCCAAGAUACUCUGUGCAGCCACGAUAAGUGAGCUUAUGCCUCUGGUUAGCUUUGAAGAUUGGCCACAAAGAGCACCCACUUUUAUUCUGUCUUAUCCUUAGAAUAUCAAGGAAUAGAAUACGAGUGAGAAAGAUGCAAACAACAAGGCAGAGUAGUAUACUUCUGCUCCCAGAUGGAAGUCUGUUUUAGGACUUCAGCCACACUGCAAAAAAUAGCCUUGCCUUGUAGAGUUUCUCGGAGAACAGGCAAGUGCCAACAACAUACACUGGCCUGAAACUUUGUACUUUUUUUUACUAAAGGUUUUCCCCUGACAUGCAGUCUAGUCAUGCCCUACUCUGGGAGUUGGUACUCAUCUCCAUUUCUAAGCCGAAUAGCCGGCAUUGUCCGUAGAUACCUUCAAGGUAAUGGGCUGGCAUGACUGCAUGGAGCACCAUUACCUUCCUGCCAGAAUGGUACCUAUUGAUCUACUCACAUUUGCAUGUUUUUGAACUGCUAGGUUGGCAGAAGCUGGGGCUAACAGCUGGAGCUCACCCUUCUCCCUGGAUUCGAACCACCGACUACAAGUUCAGCAGCUCAGCGGUUUAACCAGCUGUGUCACCAGGGGCUCACUAACACAAUUAGCAAUGCUGAUACUUUCAUUCCACUUUCACUGUCACAGAGUUAUGACUGUGUGAUAUAAAGGAGUAAAUAGUUGCAAAUGUAGGUAUAUGUAUUUGCUAUGUGUAGAGCAUGAAUGAAGGAGUUAUAGUCAAAGGAUAUAUUUUUUAAUGCCAUUAGCGUGUUAUCUCCUUCCCGAUGCUUACCUACACUGUACAACAAACUCCUUUGGUUAUUUUCCCCUUAGUUUUACAAGUUAUAUUGAGAUUGUUUUACUCAUUGUUUUGAUCUGAUUUUUUGUUUGCUUGUGUCUGGCAUUGAAUGUUUGCCACUUUUGUCACUCACAGGAAAUUGCACUAAGUCCCCUUGGGGAGAUAGGGCGGAUUAUAAAAAAAAGCUUUAUUUAUUUAUUUAUUUAUUUAUUUAUUUAUUUAGGUGCUCAGUCAAGUUCCUCCCUCCUUUGUUCAAUUUCCUUUUAAAAAACUAAAACCUUCUGGAAUUUCUGGAUUCAACUACUGCAUUCAUAUAUGAUUGCUUGGAACUUUAAAAAAGUCUCAUCUGUAAUCUGCUGAAAAACAACUAAGUUGCAUUGAUAGGGAUGGGAAAAUAUGGCUCUCCAGAUGGUGUUGAGCAGGCAUUUACCUAAAGCCUUUGUCUAUCCUUUACUGGCAGUUAAAUGGCAGCCUCACAACUUUGGAAAGGGGACAUUUUGCCCAUGUUAGAGUGUGUUUAGUGCAGUGGUUUCCAAACUUAUUUGGCCUACCGCCCCCUUUCCAAAAAAAUUAUUACUCAGAGCCCCCUGGAAAGGGGGGCGUGGCUUAGAGGGGUGGCCGUGGCUCGUGCUCAAGAGGGCAGGGCCGAGCCUCUCCCCUAGUCCAAGAUGUAGGGCUGGGAGGGGGAGGUGGACGGGGCCACAAAUGGGCGGCCAGGACUGGGAUGGGCGGAGUUACAAGCUCUGAGGCAGGGCUGAGCUUCUAUCCUUGUCCUGCG
rnacentral:lncRNA from 11 species